UGCAAAGAGACCUGAGAAUGCAGGGAAGCUUAUUGCGAGUACUGUGAGAAGUAUGCUAAAGCUGAAGAUGUAGGAGCUGCACCAGAAGAGAAAUCAAGUGAUGAUGAGGAAAUAAGUGAAGAUCAAUAUGAUUCAAGUGAUGAACAGGUUGCUGGUAAAGCAGAUCCUUAGCUGCUUCAAGUGAUGAACUUGGAAUUGUGGUCAAAGGGGGAAAUGCCCCUUAUUGUUGUUCAGUUUCACGUCAAUGUAAAUAAUGUACCAUUGAUUUCCUGAUGCAAUCUUAGUUUCUUGUUGUGGCUCUUUCAAAUUGAUGCAUUGUGCUUUUUAGCUUAGCAUGGUACUACCAUAAUAUGCACAAAUACUCUUCCUGUAACUCAUUUAAUGCAAUGUUCACAACUAUUCAUCUUUUGAUCUUUGAAA